UCGAGAAACUGUCGUGACAUCAGUUACAUGGACUGGAAUGUUCUUAAAGAUGGAGACAGGGAUUCAGAAGGAGAAACACCAGGGGGAGAUGAGGGGGCUCCUCAUCUCAACAACUAAAACUCAACUUCAGUCUGACACAGAGAACCAUGGAACACAUUGAACAGUCCCCUCCAUGCAUCGGGACUCCUCAGGAACAGUUUCAUUUCCAAGAAGGUCCUAUUUGGGGCCAUCCCCAUAUGGAUCCUGCUCCUCAAGAGCCACCCCCCUCCACUGGGUGGUCUUCUGAACAGAUGACCUCCUUCCUGUCCUCAGGCUGACUAAAGCUCUACCGUUUGCAUCUGUGAAGGCCCGUCAUUCAGGAAACCAAUGGAAUACAAAGACAUGACUUCAGAGACGUUGAAUCAACCUGGGACACAUUUUGGAGACGCCAAGCAUAAUCCAUCACCAAUGUGGGACGCCACUGAAGGAUGUUGUACAUAAUUUACAUCUCUGGAGACAUUGGUUGUUCUGUUCUGGGUGCCCUGGCAGGAGAGCUGGGGGGGUGAUGAUGGAAGGUUAUUUGGCAUGAGGUUUUUACCCUGCAUGAUUGUUUGGCCUUUUAUGGCUGAGUGGUAUGUGUGUUUGGGUUUGACAUGAGAUGGAUGAUUUUUGAGCAUCCGUAGGGUUCUACUGUGUGUGUGUGUGUGUGUGUGUGUGUGUGUGUGUGUGUGUGUGUGUGUGUGUGUGUGUGUGUGUGUGUGUGUGUGUGUGUGUGUGUGUGUGUGUGUGUGUGUGUGUGUGUGUGUGUGUGUGUGUGUGUGUGUGUCCCACUCACACCUGGCAUGGGGUUCUACGUGCCUGUCCUGGGUUCUAUGUGUGUGUGUGUCCGGCUUGCUUUGACAGUGAUAAUGUUCAUACGGGGGUCUGUGAUUGGCUUGGGAUAUCGGAAUGGUCAAAUAAAUCAUACCUGAUGGACGGGCACACCUUUACUUGAGGGCCUCCAGUAGACAUGAAGAGCCCUGAGCGACGCUCCGGAGCGAUAUCCAACACACUGGGCAGAAUGGAGAGUACCCAACUCAAGUGUAAAAGGAUGCAAGCGGCGUGUUCAGAUCAGUGACUUCAAACUAGGACUACACCAAUCAGGAUCAAUGGAGGAUGGACACCUAAAGGAAUUCCACAAGGAGAGUCUGACGUUGGAAAGGGACCUAAAUGGAUAUUCAAGAUGACCUUCAGACCUGUAAUGAGACGGCUCUUCCUACCUGGCUGGAUUGAUGGAGAGCCCUGUGGAUUUUGGGUAGCUCUCGGUUGCACGUCUUCUCAGGCUGAACUGUAUUUGUUUCGGACAGGACUAGCUGAACGAUUGGUUCCCUUAAAUCAGAACCAAUCCGGGAACUCCAGCUAGUGCGCUCUUCGAGCUGAAGUUGUGCUCUUCAGCUGAGGAGGUAAGGAUACCUUCACUGGGGCUUCAAGGUGUAAAGAGGAGAAUGUUUCAAAGUGUUCCAUGGUACUCUGAUGAAGACCGUUGUUGUGUUCCACUGGCUGAGAGGAAGAACCCACACAUCAUCCUCUUGGCUUUUCUCCUCUGAGAAUCCUGGCGCCAUCUUGAAGGAUAUUCGAGCUCAUGUAACUGAUGUCGCGACAGAUUCUCAAACACUUGGUUUCUCCUGAGGGGCUUGUCUAUAGAACUGAAGACUUCAGACAGUACUGUAUCCCAGCAUGCAUCUCUGCUCACUCAGACCACACCCCCAUGAGUAGGAUGCAACACUCUAGUGAUGGAGAUGUAGAGUUUUAUAAGUAUUAUCAUUAUAGAUUAAAUUUGCUCUGUAUGGUUUUUACACUGAAUAAUCUAGAUAAUUGUAAAAUGUAGACACGGUUUUGUAUUGAAUGAUUCCAGGAUUUUAGGUUUAAAGUUGUUGUGGGACGUACAUGGUAGUUUGGUUCUUCGUACGGUUUGAGUGAUAUAACUUGUACACACUGGGUGCAAAAUAAUGUAAAGGUACACUGAAUAGUAGUAAUGACCAACAGCAACAAACAGAUCCCCUCAAGGUAAGUCUGUUGGCUGUGUUUUACUGAAGACCAUCGCUGGACUUCAGGAUCUUCCUCCGUUCAGCUCAAGGUGAGGCGCUGGUUCUGUUAUUUCUUUGGUUGGUUCCCGCUGGAAUGUUCGGAUUCCAGUCGGACGGUUUGUGCUUCCCGCCGUGGAAGGUUCUGAGUGCGGUCACUUGAUUUAGUCCCAAUGGUUAGCAUAAAACGUUGUAGUCUUGACAACCAUAAGAAACCACCUGGCAGUUAGUUGGACGGGAGUCCCCUGAGGGAAUCUGGCGGAACGUUCUGGAUUGUAUUUGCGUAACCUUGAGCCGUUGCCAACGGAAACAAUUUUUCACUCCGUUUCCAUUGGGAAUUGUUGCCCCUAUCUUAAACAACUGAAGUUUGAUAUUAAAUACAUACUGACACGUACGUCGUACUAUAUGUUGCUAAUUUCCGUUGGUUGCGCCGUACUUUUAACCACGAUGACGUGACGGGACUCUCACUGCGUACAAAACAGCGUUCUACUUGCGGGCCCAUUUAUGACAUCACUGAAGGCUCAAAAUCAUUUCAAGGAGGAAGAUAAUUUGACAUUUCUUCAACGGAACCCAGCACCUGAAUAUGGCUGAGUAUAUUUGAUUUAAUAUCGAUACUGCUUGGUGUUCUUUGUUGCUUCAGCUUUUGUAUGUUCUAAAUAGCUGCCGUCAUUAAUUGCCACAGAAGUUUAACCCCUGGAUAAUAUCAAAGCUAAAGUAAUGUUCGUCCUUCCCACAUGUUACAGUAGAAGAUACUCUAGAACUGUCAAAGGUUAAAAAGGUAACAUGUAGUUUGUCCCAAGGUGUCUGCCUUCUCACCCAGAGCAAGACCUCCACCUCCUCACUCAGAGCCAGACCUCCACCUCCUGUCAGAAGUCCUCCAGAGCAGGACAGUGCUCUGGUGUUUGAGUAGAGUCUUCUCAGCUGAAAGGCGAGGCUGAGCGGCUGGGGACCGGAGGCUUGUGGUGCCAGGGUGGACCGGAGACUGAGGCUGGAGACCAGGGGCCUGCAGCACCGGACCAGAGGACCAGGAAUCCAUGGCUGAAGGAGCUGAUGGAGGAGCCGUACUGAAGGAGCUGAUGGAGGAGCCGUGCUGACUUACAAACUACACACCUGAGCUGAACCUCACCUGAUCCUGUUUGGUCGGGGGCAGACACACCUUAGCUGAACCCGCCCUGAUCCUGACAUCCUGCUGGUCCCGUCUCCUCAGUUCAUCUGAGCCUCGUCCUCCAGAAGACCUGCUAAGCUCAGCAGUCUGAGGCUGAUGGAUCAAUGACCUCCAGUGGGAGUGAUCUUCUUGACUCCACAUGUAACCGUGUGCUUCCACACGCCUUUCCCUCUCAUCUGUCACUAACCUCACUACUUCACUACUCUCUACUGCUUCCUCUUUUCUUCCUUCUCUGUGGUUCGAACCUUUACACGGAAGGCGCGUCUUCCUGCCCUCAGAGGGUUCAGCGUUAGGGUUGAGAGUCAGGGUUUAGAGUCAGGGACAGAACUGGUCAGGGAGGACUGCUUUUACACAAACCUCUUCACUUGCUUUCGGAAUUGUGGUGACAUUUUGAGAUAAUCAUUUGGGAAAAUGUUUUGGCUUCCUGUUUUUUUUUUUUCUGCUUUCCUUUAAAAAAUUGUAUCAAACUUCUGUCAAGUGUUUUUGUUUAUAUAU